rnacentral:rRNA from 1 species
UGGGGAAUUUUGGACAAUGGGCGAAAGCCUGAUCCAGCAAUGCCGCGUGUGUGAAGAAGACCUUCGGGUUGUAAAGCACUUUUGUCCGGAAAGAAAUCCUUGGCUCUAAUACAGUCGGGGGAUGACGGUACCGGAAGAAUAAGCACCGGCUAACUACGUGCCAGCAGCCGCGGUAAUACGUAGGGUGCAAGCGUUAAUCGGAAUUACUGGGCGUAAAGCGUGCGCAGGCGGUUUGCUAAGACCGAUGUGAAAUCCCCGGGCUCAACCUGGGAACUGCAUUGGUGACUGGCAGGCUAGAGUAUGGCAGAGGGGGGUAGAAUUCCACGUGUAGCAGUGAAAUGCGUAGAGAUGUGGAGGAAUACCGAUGGCGAAGGCAGCCCCCUGGGCCAAUACUGACGCUCAUGCACGAAAGCGUGGGGAGCAAAGCAGGAUUAGAUACCCCUGGUAGUCCCACGCCCUAAACGAUGUCAACUAGUUGUUGGGGAUUCAUUUCCUUAGUAACGUAGCUAACGCGUGAAGUUGACCGCCUGGGGAGUACGGUCGCAAGAUUAAAACUCAAA